UCCCCCCGUCUCCGUUCCCCCUCCCCAACCUCCACCCCUGCCCCAGGAUGGAGGGCCCCUCCGAGAGCAUGGCGAGGGUGAGUAGCGGCUGGUCUCUCCCCUGCACCUAGCGGGGCACAGCAGAGGGAGCCUCCGGGGCCGGGGUGUGCCGGAGCCCACUCACCUGUCGCCAAAGGAUGGGAAAAUAUUUCAUAGAGGGUUGGUACACUUCAAUUCUCAUCAAAUGCAAAGCAGAAAUGAUCAGCACAUAGCACUCCAAUAUUCCCAUUAUGGGUACUACUAGUGGUAAUAAUCCCUUGCACCCUGGGAGCUCCGAAGAUCCCACAUUCCAAUUCUGGACCUGCAGAGGAUGGGGAAACUGAGCCACCAAGAGGCUGUGCAGCUCUACCAGCCCUGCUGCACUCAGUGGCAGAGCUGGGAAGUCCAGACAGGCUUCCUAGCUCUAGGUUUGACAGGGCAGAAGCCCCCAAGGGUCCCCAUCCCACACGCACUCCCACAGAGGAGUAACUCCUUUUUCAUAUAAUAGAUGCGGGUAGAUAAAUUGCUUCAAGGUCACUGUGAUAUAUGUCCUAAAGUUAAUUCAUGUUAAAAAGAUGUAAAAUGUAAUUCAACCCCUAUAAGUAUAAGUUUUGUUUCUAAUCCAGUAUGCUAAGAGUUAACUCAGACGAAAGUGGCCCGGAGAAGGGUACAGGAAUUUCUUUUGCCUGAAAAGACAUAGGAGGGACACGAAGAAACCAUGAUUGGAAUUACCAGAAAAAGAGAUAUGAGGAUGCCUCUGCCGGGAAUCGUUAAGGGGAGAACAAAGACAACAGAAAAAGGAGAUGAGAGCCCGGAGAACCAGAUGAUUACAUCAGAUCGAUAUCUCAUCCAUCUCCUCCUGAAAUUAACAUCUUCACGCCACACCUGGAUUCGACCAUUAAAGGCAUUGUCUUCUCAAGCAACCCUAUUCAGAAUCACCAGAGCUGGAACAUGAAUGUCUAAUGAGGCUGCCUCAGAAGGAGGAACCUCGAAGUCCUGAGUUUCUCUCAGCGAUCCAGUGUAUAAAAAGAGACUGCUCCAAGCCAGAAAUGUGAACAUGGGUGUGGGAGAUUAGGGACAGGCGGUCGGAAGAUAUCGCGUUGUACGGGCAGACAGAACCCCUCCCUCAACUCUUAGUUGGUUAGUGUCCUUGAUAAGGUAAGCAAUACCUAACUUGUAACGUAAGCAGACGGAUGUGAUGUAGCAAACAGAGGUUUUAUAACUCCAUGUAGCCAGUUAAUAAAUGCCAUUAGCCGUCCA